GCCACUGGAUUGGGAGUGAGAUCAGCUCAGCCCCUCCCCGGGGCUGCAGGGAAAAGGUCACCAGUCACCAGUCACCAGCCACCAGUCACCAGUCACCAGUCUGACCCUUUAACUGAGGGUAUUUGAAAGAUAACAAAACCAGAAAGAAAAACAGAAAGGAGGAGGGAGGGAAUUCAAAUGCUUCAGUGCCCUGCUCCACAAACCCCAGCUCCCGUAGGCAGAUCAGCUCUUGCUUAUGCUGGCAGAAAGCUGGAAGGCUGCUGACUUCCAACCCCGCUGCUCAAAUCCGGGCAGGGUUUGGUCCAGGCGACUUUUAAAGCUGCCUGAAAACACCAAAUCUCCGAGGAAAGCUUCCUGGGCUUGGUCCAACCUGCUCUGCCCGGCUGGAGCAGCCACGAGGCUGGGAUGGGCUGAGCCUGCUUUCGGGAGGCACGGGGCUGUUUUCCAGAGAAAUACCUCCAUCACCCACAGCCCAAGCCCCCCCGCAAAGCAGAGUGACAGCUCUGUCGCCAGCUUCAUGGAGGAAGAGCCUCUGGUGAGGGCUCAGCAGCCAGGAUGGCUCCAUCACUGCUCGCAUUGACACGUGCAUUGAAAGGAGACUCCGAACAGGGACUCAGAGAUAACUCCCAUCUACUUCAGCAGCGACAUAAAGGUGGGGAGCAUAAAGCAGCUACUUGUAAUAGUAACCUGACAUGCUUUUCCCCUGUACAAAAGCAGCAUUUCCUUCUGUAAUAAAGAACAGGCUGUUCUGA